CAUGAAUAUUAGUUUUGCAAUACCUGGAUUCCGGGCAUCAUUGCUGUUGCUUGGUGUUGCUGCUUUCACCACCUUGCCCCCAAGUUUGUGAGACAUGUCACUACUUACUGGGAUCCCUCUAUGAAAAGGUGAGGCUGUCAGGAAUUGAAACCGGCCUUUUGUAAGUCCAUCACCCUUCCCACCUCAGCACCAUGUCAUAAAAAGGGAGAAGUAUUGCUUACAUGGAGGACUUAACGUGUGCUGACUUAGCACCUCUGUGGCUGAUCUUCCUCUGCCUACUCUUUAUAUGUUGGUUCUAAGACGCCAUCAUUGACUGACUUCUCUUCUUACAUUAAUCUCUUUCCCUGCAUGAUCACAUCUACUCUUGUAGCUUCUGUUGAUGACUUCCAAAUUUGCAACUAUCGAACACACACUUAUUAAAAAUCUUCUAAGAGGCUAGAUGCUGAGAUCUCAAAGAUCCGCAGGUGCAGAAAGUGGCCAGGAGAGCUCCAGAAGAACCAGGGAGUUUGGGACAUAUGUAGUGGACAGUCUUAACAAUAAUGAAGGCACAGAUUCCUCUACUGAGCCCUUCCCAAGUUCCAGGCAUGGUGCUUUAUGUACAUUCUCAUGUAUGAUGGCAGUAAUCCUAUGGUCUGGAAUGAACCCCGAUAGAAGUGGAAGCCUGUGUGGAGGAUGGCUGAGCUGUACCACCAGCUUUGAUACCUGAGAGUACUCAUGGAGCAGAGCUGCCUACAGCUCUGGACUGUCCACCUACUUCUAGUCUGUUAUAAAAAUAAAUGUCUGUCAUA